rnacentral:rRNA from 1 species
GACAGAGGCCUCAAGCGUUAGGCGGAAUCACUGGGCUUAAAGCGUGUGUAGGCGGAUCGUUAAGUCGGGGGUGAAAUCCUGGAGCUCAACUCCAGAACUGCCUUCGAUACUGGCGAUCUUGAGUCCGGAAGAGGUGAGUGGAACUCCGUAGUGUAGAGGUGGAAUUCGUAGAUAUUAGGAAGAACACCAGUGGCGAAGGCGGCUCACUGGUCCGGUACUGACGCUGAGGUGCGAAAGCGUGGGGAGCAAACAGGG